rnacentral:ncRNA from 2 species
GCUUGGCAGAAUCAGCGGGGAA